AUGGAAGUGUAACAGCAUCAAGUCAUAUACUCUGCACAUCUAUAAGUUCUCAGUCAGGAAUAACAAAACAAACACAGAGAUGGUGUUUCAGAACAAGACCUUGUCGAUUUCUCUGAUAUGGCUCAUUGUCGCCGCGUCUUUCAUGAUGUGUGCUUAUGCAAGUGCUGAAACAAGUGCUCGACCUCAAAAUGCAGACCCGAGAUUCCCUUCUCUGGCUGGUUGUCGCUGCUGUAAUUUUAUCCUUGUGAAGAAUUUCAUCCAGUGUGGAACGGUAUGCUGCAAGGAUGGAUGUUGUGGUCGCAAGUGAAGCUCCUGUCAGCCACACCAUGCAUCAAGCCAUGAAUAAUGCAGUCGAACGACGAUAUAUCUCCAUCUGGAGACGCUUCAUCCUUGAUUGUCAAUUUACUUCUAUUUCCUGUUAAAAAUGUUUGGUAACUGAAAAAAGUGUAAUAAGUUCGAACAUGUAAUAAAUAACACAUAUUACUAAAAUAUAUAUGCAGCUUUAGGCUUUUCAUAA